GGGGGAGACCCUGCUUCGGGCGGGUGGCACCCCGGUGGACCAAACCAAACUUGUUUAAUAUGUCGUCUGAGUCGAUUUAAAAAAUUAAUCAAAACUUUCAACAACGGAUCUCUUGGUUCUGGCAUCGAUGAAGAACGCAGCGAAAUGCGAUAAGUAAUGUGAAUUGCAGAAUUCAGUGAAUCAUCGAAUCUUUGAACGCACAUUGCGCCCCGUGGUAUUCCGCGGGGCAUGCCUGUUCGAGCGUCAUUACACCACUCAAGCCUCGCUUGGUAUUGGGCGACGCGGUCAAUCCGCGCGCCUCAAAUCUUCCGGCUGGUUCGAAUCGUCCCUCAGCGUUGUGGAAACUAUUCGCUAAAGGUGCGCGUUUCGGUCACGCCGUUAAACAAACCAAUUCAUUAAAGGUUGACCUCGGAUCAGGUAGGGAUACCCGCUGAACUUAAGCAUAUCAAUAAGCGGAGGAAAAGAAACCAACAGGGAUUGCCCCAGUAACG
rnacentral:rRNA from 1 species